rnacentral:rRNA from 1 species
UACAGGGGGCGCGAGCGUUGCUCGGAAUCACUGGGCGUAAAGCGUACGCAGGCGGGUCGAUAAGUCCGUUGUGAAAUCCCGGGGCUCAACCCCGGAACUGCAGUGGAGACUGUCGAUCUUGAGUACGGGAGAGGGGAGCGGAAUUCCUGGUGUAGAGGUGAAAUUCGUAGAUAUCAGGAGGAACACCGGUGGCGAAAGCGGCUCCCUGGCCCGAUACUGACGCUCAUGUACGAAAGCGUGGGGAGCAAACAGG